AGACGUAGGGGGGCAAGCGUUGUCCGGAAUUACUGGGCGUAAAGGGUGCGUAGGCGGCAUGUUAAGUUGGAUGUGAAAUACCCGGGCUCAACCUGGGGGGUGCAUUCAAAACUGGCAAGCUAGAGUGCAGGAGAGGGAAGCGGAAUUCCUAGUGUAGCGGUGAAAUGCGUAGAUAUUAGGAGGAACACCAGUGGCGAAGGCGGCUUUCUGGACUGUAACUGACGCUGAUGCACGAAAGCGUGGGGAGC
rnacentral:rRNA from 1 species